AGCAGCCGCGGUAAUUCCAGCUCCAAUAGCGUAUAUUAAAGUUGUUGCAGUUAAAAAGCUCGUAGUUGAAUUUCGGAGUUUGUCGGUUGGUCGGGCUUCACUGUUCGCACUGGCCUGAUGGAUUCCUACCUUCUGAAUAACCAGCGUGCUAUUAAUUUAGUGUGUUGGGGAAGCAGAGCUAUUACCUUGAAAAAAUUAGAGUGCUUAAAGCAGGCUUACGCUUGAAUAGAUUAGCGUGGAAUAAUAAAAUAGGACGGCAUGGUUCUAUUUUGUUGGUUUCUAGGAUCACCGUAAUGAUUAAUAGGGAUAGUUGGGGGCAUUAGUAUUCAAUUGUCAGAGGUGAAAUUCUUGGAUUUAUUGAAGACUAACUUCUGCGAAAGCAUUUGCCAAGGAUGUUUUCAUUAAUCAAGAACGAAAGUUAGGGGAUCGAAGACGAUCAGAUACCGUCGUAGUCUUAACCAUAAACUAUGCCGACUAGGGAUCGGACGAUGUUAAUUUUUUAAUGACUCGUUCGGCGCCUUACG
rnacentral:rRNA from 1 species